rnacentral:rRNA from 1 species
AUUUGGAGAGGAUGCUUUUGGCGCGGCGCCGUCCGAGUUCCUUGGAACAGGACGCCAUAGAGGGUGAGAGCCCCGUACGGGCGGCCGCCUAGCCUUUGUAAAGCUCCUUCGACGAGUCGAGUAGUUUGGGAAUGCUGCUCAAAAUGGGAGGUAAAUUUCUUCUAAAGCUAAAUACCGGCCAGAGACCGAUAGCGCACAAGUAGAGUGAUCGAAAGAUGAAAAGCACUUUGAAAAGAGGGUUAAAAAGUACGUGAAAUUGUUGAAAGGGAAGCGCCUGUGACCAGACUUGCGACCCGUGGAUCAUCCGGUGUUCUUCACCGGUGCACUCCGCGGGCUGCAGGCCAGCAUCGGCUUUCCUAGGGGGUUAAAGGUCGCAGGAACGUAGCUCUUUCGGGAGUGUUAUAGCCUGUGGCGUCAUGCCUCUGGGGAGACCGAGGACCGCGCUUCGGCAAGGAUGCUGGCGUAAUGGUCACCGGCGACCCGUCUUGAAACACGGACCAAGGAGUCAAGCAUUGGGGCGAGUGUCUGGGUGCCAAACCCGCACGCGAAAUGAAAGUAAACGCAGGUGAGAGCUUCGGCGCAUCACCGACCGAUCCUGAUGUCUUCGGAUGGAUUUGAGUAAGAGCCUUACCGCUUGGACCCGAAAGAUGGUGAACUAUGCCUGUAUAGGGUGAAGCCAGAGGAAACUCUGGUGGAGG